UAUUACGCUUUAAUGUGAAGAUGGCACUUCUGCUUUUAUGUUUGAGCAGAGUUCUGGACACCCAUCUCUCAGCUAAGGUACUUCUCCAGUGUUUUGCGAAAUAGCUCCCCGUUCCCAUGUUGUUUGAUUACGUGGUUUGGUUGGAAGUGUUUGACAGCUUUACCAUCAUCAGCUUUCUUCACUUGGGCUGGGCAUCUUCAAACGGAUGUCGCAGUCCUGCACGGUGUGCCGUACGCAGCUGGCUAAAUUCAGAGGGACCCACAGAACAUAGUGAUGGGCUCAGGCUGGCCUGUUGCAGUCUUGCAUGGCCAAGACCCAAAAAAAUGCACAAAAAGGGAAUGAGAAAACAAUUUCAGACUUUUACAGGCAUAUUAAAAUCCUGUUGUGGUGUUUGCCUUUUUUGUUGUUAUAUUCCCAUUUUGCUCUUCAAUAAAACCCACAAAGGUAUUUGCUUUCAGGGGCAAAAAGUGUUUGUAAGUUUCCUAUUUUCACUCCUAGUAUAUAGGAGCUUAUGUUCUUGAGUAUUACAGAAACUUGCCAAUUCUGCUUAUAGUUUUCACCUUUAGAUUAGGCUCUUUGUAGUCUUCCUGUUCCACUAAUAAUCAUUUUUAACAAUUACUUUUACAUUGCGAAGGAAAGAGCCCAAGAAAUCAGUGUCAGUCUUGCAGGUGACACGCACAAGUCACAGAUACCAGAGACACCAGUUCUCCCCAGCAUCAUUUGCAUCCUUGCCUGAUACAGCUACUUGAGAAAGUGGUGUUCACGUCAGACCAGUGGAGGCAAGAAGAGCAAUUAGUUCUCAGAUUGCUGCUGUUGCAUGUGCACGAUCUUAUCGCCUGGUCCCAGCUCACAGGCUGGGAAAGGGCAUGGAUGCUGAGUGCCAGUCCGGGAGCUGUGACUUUCUGCCUCGUAGGUCUGAAAGCUGGGGCUAACGCUGCCUACAGUAAAGAAAAUAUUCUCCUCUACUGAAGCUCUGAAAUGUAACAGAAGAAAUGCUGAGACAGUAACUCUGAUGGAAUGCACCUUGGUUAAUGCUCCGUACUGGCCUGUUUUACAGGUUGCUGCUCUCUGGCUACAGAUCUCCCUGAGCUCCCCUCUGGUUAGGCACGGCCUGAGCUAUGUCGGACAGUCCAUGAGCCCACAGCCAGACUGUAGUCUGUGUGUCUGUCCUGUGUCUGUAGUGCAGUCUCUGUCCUCAGCACUGAUUGCAGAUGUCAGCUGCGCCUUCUCUCUUGCCUGAUUGCACUCAUGCUCCUCGGGUUAUUCAGCUGCCUCGCUGACUUCCCCGUGCAGAUGACAAUCUCUUUCAGUGCUGUGGUAAUGGGGCUGUUCAACUGAAAGUGGAUGCUUGAAAAUUCUCCACGCCCUGCUAUCCUACCAGAAAACAGGUACCCGUAAUUACAUCAAAUGAUAGAGAGAUCAGUCAGACAAAGCCAUUGCAGAUGACAGUUCUUUCACUGGAGAGCCUGAAAGAAUGGGUCACACCAGCUAAUACAAUAACCGCACACCUUAUCCCUAUAUGCAAUUUUCAUUAGGGCCAUUGAAUGUCCGUGACCGACACCUGUACAAAGAGGGAGAGAAGCAGAUAGAUAAAAAUAACAGCUACAGUUACUACUGAAUAAACUGAACUUCUGCAGGCUUUUGUGGUUCAGUUCUUUGGCUUCAUAUUCAGACAUGGAGUGAGUUAGGGGGAAGUCACCCUGGCAAACGGAGGAAGCAGAGCUCAACCUGGAAUGGGGAGGAAGAAGUGAAGACCGUGGAGUAGCAGAAGACUGAGAGAGGGGUUCCUCCCCUUCGUAUUUUCUCUCAGAUAAUUUUGUGUUAUAUUAAUAAAUUUUGCAAGUC